GCCGUCCACCUCAGAGGGAGCCCUGUGUGCCAUUAUAAGUGGUGGGUGAUCGCUCGCAGCUACCCGCUUCCAAUUCGGAUUAGAAGCUGAGGCUGGAGCGGCGAGGAGAAAACGACAUCGAGUCACCCCGCGCGUGAGCGACGCUCUGGAGCAGGAGAGAAGGAAAAGGAAGAGACACACGUAUAUAGCAUGUGUUACCUGAUUUAUUUCGAGAUUGUUUGGUACUGUUUUCUCUCUGGGCACCUCUCAUUUCGGAAGGCCAUCAGAGGCGCCCACUACUGAGCGGCCCCGGCCGCCGCAGCAGCACCCGGAGCCCCAGGCCCGGUUUCCCCGCGGCGCCGGAGCCCGGAGCUCGCCGCCGCCCAGGCCUCAGGAAUCGAGUAAGUAACCCCUGUUUGGCCCCGCGCUCCUCUGCCCACUUCCUCCUCCUCAUCUCAUCGCUCCCAAAGCUCUCCCACACCCUCCUCCCCCGAAGUAAAGGACACCCCCGCACACACGCCAGCGGUGGGCCUUCUCUCCCCCCUUAUCCAAAGCUGCGCUAGACUAUUACCUACAAAGGGCACAAUUUUCCUGCUGGCUCAGAAAUGCCAGACACUGGCCUGCAGGGCCGACUCGGAAAAGUAGUGCCUCGCCUCUACCUCCUCCAUUUCCUGCCCUCUCGCAUCCUCUCCCUGCACUCCCACUCUUCCCACUACCACCACCACCCCCGCUUUCAAAAAUAAAAUUGGAUACAAACUUUAAUCACUAAGGACAAAUAUUGACGCUUAAACGAAAAUGACCCAGUACAAUGAGAAGGAAGCCGGAAAUGUGAGCUAUUGGCCCUAGGAGGGGAAUUUCUGUGGAGCGGAGCCGGCGGGGUGGAGGGGGUGGCGGGGGCGCAGGGAAGGGCUGCGGCACCGCGUGCUCCCGCC
rnacentral:lncRNA from 1 species